UACGUAGGGGGCAAGCGUUGUCCGGAAUCAUUGGGCGUAAAGAGCGUGUAGGCGGCUCGAUAAGUCUGCUGUGAAAGUCCAGGGCUCAACCCUGGAAGGCCGGUGGAAACUGUCGGGCUAGAGUCCGGAAGAGGCGAGUGGAAUUCCCGGUGUAGCGGUGAAAUGCGCAGAUAUCGGGAGGAACACCAAUGGCGAAGGCAGCUCGCUGGGACGGUACUGACGCUGAGACGCGAAAGCGUGGGG
rnacentral:rRNA from 1 species